rnacentral:lncRNA from 1 species
GCUGUAUAACACAUAUCACCUUAAAAUUAGAUAUGAAAUUGACAAACCAGAUUAAUGUAUAUAAAUCAGAUAUAUGUCUUUGUAUGUGUACGGUGUGUGUGUGUGCGUGUGUGUGUCCCUGUGGAUUUUAUUGGCAUUGCGGCACAAUAAAAAAAUGCCAUUUCUAAAGGUAUUAUGUAGCACAGGAAAAAUUUUACAACUACAUAUUUUGAGUACUUCUCAAAUUAUUCAAAAUUCAUAUUAUAUGGCAUUAAUUUUUUCUCUUUAGAAACGAAGCUGCUGGGCCGGAGCCGGGGCUCACGACUGUAAUUGCAGCACUUUGGGAGGCCAAGGUGGGAGAAUCACGUGAGCCUGGGAGGCGGGGGUUGCAGUGAGCCAAGAUCUUGCCUUUGCAUUACAGCCUGGGUGACAGAGUGAGACCCUGUCACAAAAAAAAAAAAAAAAGGAAAAAAAAGAAAAAAGAAAAGGAAAAGAAGAAACGAGAAAAAGCUGUUUAUAUCAUCUUCACAGUGAAAUAGCCCAAAUUUUGUCUUUUAUUUUUUUAAAAGAAUUUGAGAAGCACAGAUUCUUGCUUUUCAUUUUCGACAUGCAUUGCCAAUUUUAGUUGGUAAAUAUUUUUGAUACAUCAACGAACAAAACGAAAAAGUUAGUGUAGGUGAUUUGUCAGGCCACAUCUUGGAAUUUAUCGAGAAUGUCACGUUUAAAAAAGGAACAGGCGUUAUGUAAAAAGCCUGGCUUAUUCAAAUAUGCCUAGAGUUUGUUGUUGUUGUUGUUUUUGUUUUUUCCUCCUUAUAUUUAAAAGUACGCAGGCCGAGUGCAAUGACUCACACCUGUAAUCCCAGCACUUUGGGAGACCAAGGUUGGUGGAUCACCUGAGGUCAGGCGUUCGAGACCAGCCUGGCCAACAUGGUGAAACCCUGUCUCUACUAAAAGUACAAAAAUUAGCCGGGCGUGGUGGUGGGUGCUUGUAAUCCCAGCUUCUUGAGAGGCUGAGGCAGGAGAAUCGCUUGAACCCAGGAAGUGGAGUUUGCAGUGAGCCGAGAUCAUGCCAUUGCACUUCAGCCUGGGUGACAAGGGCGAAACUCCGUCUCAAAAAUAAAUUAAUAAAAACAAAAAAUAAAAAUACGCUCUAGAGAAAAACAUUGUUAGCAUCUCUCUGUGUUAUAUUUGUGAAACACGUGUUAUAAUCUUACAGAACUCAGUUUGGGGAUUGCUAACUUAGCUGAUGGAGUGUGUUGUCCUAACAGAACUAUAGUACACACAUCUUUUUGAAUAUGGCUCCUCAUAGAGGAACUGUUAUGUGCGUUUUAGCAUGCAUAUAAUUCUUUUAAUACAUCCUGUGUUUCUUUCAGUAUUGCUAAACUACUAACAGAGGGAAAAAAUAACGUAAGAACAAAAUGGCUUAAGAACCGGGGGCUCAUAGAUAUUAGACAAAAAGAAGAGGGGACAGGCUGACAUGAGAGCAUCUAGAACAGCACCAUAGUAACAUCAUCUUCUAAAUUUGUUCACAAGAAUUCCCCUGAAAACACCCAGCUUCCCAGAUUUCCCAUAUGCAAAUGUUCUAAGCAUCUUUGGUCUUUAUCACAUAUUUAUACCCAGAUUGUUUGAGUUUAUGCUUGUAACUUGGAUACACUUUGUGCUUGUAACUUAAGGGUUUAGAGAGACUAUAGAAUAUUCUUG